GGACAGGCUGUGAACCGGAGUAGUAGGCCUUGGUACCUGUUACAGAGAGCUGGCGGAAGGUGCAAGGCAGCACAGACCAGAGCCGAACUCGCCGGGGAGCUGUGCGGGUGAGCUGAGGGUAGCCUGCACCGGAGGGAUUCCGUUAUCAGCUGUAAGCGGGCAAAAGAUGGGGCUGUGGCGCAGAGGGAGCGCGCCUCCUUGGCAUGGAGGAGGUCGCGGGUUCGAUUCCCGCCAGCUCCACCAUUUAUUUUGUCAAUGAGGGUGGUACCGCGGGAGCAAACCUCUCGUCCCUUUC
rnacentral:sRNA from 1 species